rnacentral:tRNA from 1 species
GCCUGGGUGGCUCAGUCAGUUGAGCGGCUGACUUCAGCUCAGGUCAUGAUCUCUCUGGGUUUGUGAGUUCAAGCCCCACGUCGGGCU